rnacentral:rRNA from 1 species
GAUGAACGCUGGCGGCGUGCCUAAUACAUGCAAGUCGAGCGAACGGACGAGAAGCUUGCUUCUCUGAUGUUAGCGGCGGACGGGUGAGUAACACGUGGAUAACCUACCUAUAUUACUGGGAUAACUUCGGGAAACCGGAUCUAAUACUGGAUAAUAUUUUGAACCGCAUGGUUCAAAAGUGAAUGACGGUCUUGCUGUCACUUAUAGCUGGUUCCGCGCUGCAUUAGCUAGUUGGUAAGGUAACGGCUUACCAAGGCAACGAUGCAUAGCCGACCUGAGAGGGUGAUCAGCCACACUGGAACUGAGACACGGUCCAGACUCCUACGGGAGGCAGCAGUAGGGAAUCUUCCGCAAUGGGCGAAAGCCUGACGGAGCAACGCCGCGUGAGUGAUGAAGGUCUUCGGAUCGUAAAACUCUGUUAUUAGGGAAGAACAUAUGUGUAAGUAACUGUGCACAUCUUGACGGUACCUAAUCAGAAAGCCACGGCUAACUACGUG